rnacentral:rRNA from 1 species
UACAGAGGUCUCAAGCGUUGUUCGGAUUCAUUGGGCGUAAAGGGCGCGUAGGCGGCGAGGUAAGUCUGGUGUGAAAUCUAGGAGCUCAACUCCUAAACUGCACUGGAUACUGCUUUGCUUGAGGACUGGAGAGGAGAUUGGAAUUCACGGUGUAGCAGUGAAAUGCGUAGAUAUCGUGAGGAAGACCAGUGGCGAAGGCGGAUCUCUGGACAGUUCCUGACGCUGAGGCGCGAAGGCCAGGGGAGCAAACGGG